AAAAUUUAGAACCCACAGUUGAUGUAAGUUGUUGGCUGUCUGUACAAAUAUUGGAAGAAACUCAUUAUUACACAGACAUCUGUAUUCUUCUGCAGCCUCCAUAAUGGUCUCAUAAUGGAUUCACUACAGGAAGCCUAAGAGGAUGAUGACGAUGAUAUGAGAGAGAGAAAACAGAGAGAACAUGCACACAUAAUCACCAAUAUACUUAGUUCUUGAUAAAUGUGGAUGCUAACAUCUUAACAGAUGCACAAUAUCCCACAGAUUACAGCUUGUUCUUCUCAUUAUUAUUUACCUAGCUUAGGCUGGAUUUAUGUGCAGCCAUCAAAUAUUGGAUUUUUAAUUGAUGCUCUGAAUUCUGUCUAUUUUGAAUGAAAGCAAGGAGUUACAAUUCAUCUGAAUGCUAAAAGCCUUCCAUAUGGCUUUUUGAAAGUUUUUGAAGUAAAUGUUGAUUUACUAGGUUUUCCAAAAUAGUUAUGGCCAGGAUUGAUAUGUUCUUUUUAAUUUCUAAACAGAUGACUACCAAUGAAAUGCUAUUACAUGUCAAGGAUGCCGUCAUUCUUCUUUUGUUUGACUUUCAAGUAUUUUAUAUUUUUAGAAGUUGUAAUCCUAAACUGCAUCAAAUAUUAAGAUUAAGCUAAG